CCAAACGGGUUGUGACCCACAGGUUGAGAACCACUGCUUUAAAUGAAAAUGUCCAUAAACCCAGGAGAUAUUGUUACACAUAUAAGCUCCUUGUGAUGGUUCAGUAAGCUGGCUGUAGGGUUCUGCACUAGAACUCACACUCAUGGAUGUUCUCAGUCUCCCUUUGUUUGCAGGUGCACACGGGCUGACACUCUGCAGAUGCAAACGUGCCGUUGAAACAAAGCAAGAGUGCUGUGUGGCUCCCAGAGCCUUGCCUGGGCCUGCGUUUCCUCCUCUUCCACUCAAGACUCACGUUAGCAGGGUUUUCCUGUUUCUAGACAACAGUCAUCAGCAUCAGAGAAGAAGGACUUGAAUUGUCUCUGACUUUCAGAACAGGGUUACAGACAACAUAGACAAACUCCGGGGAGAAUUUAUUGGAUGAAUAGUCAAAGCCUGAGAUCUAGGAGCUGGAGCAGUGAGCAGGUUGAUGCUACAAACUGGAUCCCGGGGCUCCCGAAGCCGAGUCUAAGGACCUUUCCUCUGCAGCUGACGCCUUCACGCCUGGUCUUUGGUGACUUGUCAUCAGCCCUCAGGAAGACAGGGCUGUGCCCUACAGCACGGACACCGAU
rnacentral:lncRNA from 1 species